UUCACACAUUUUAUCUAGCUGGACUCUGCCCCUUGACUUUCAUCACACCAUCUCAAUGUCUUUGAUUUUAUGGAAUCUGUUUAUUAGUUGAAAAUGUUUAUUACAGAUUACCAUGAAACAAAAUACUUUUGUCCCAACUGUGCAUGAAGAGUAUUCCAUUACUUUAUUUAUGUAGAAGAUAUUUGCAUUAUGCUUCCAUCUUAAACUCUCCUAUGAAAUUAGUUAUUUUUUGAAUUUGUUUUUUAUCGUUUAUGCCUUAGGUUGGAUGAAAUACUCUUGAAAACCUUCAGAAGACUACUUGGAAAAGAUACUGUUUUCAGUGAAGCUACAAGCAGGAAACUACCACUGGCCUGGGCAGGCACCUAUCCAAAGUUCAGGCAGUUGUUGUAGGCAGAGAGGUCUGUUGUUGACAGAGAGAUCUGCAGCCUUGAGAGAAAGGCAUGCUGUUGUUCUGUCCAUUUGCUGUCACUGCCAUGGAGAGAUCCUUUGACUCUCAGCAAAACAUGACCAGACCACAGUUGCUAAAACUGUCCAGUGUUGAAGUAAUUUAUGCAACCUGCUCCCUGUAUCACCAUAAUAGAGAGCAUCAGCACUUUUUGACUAUGGCCUUUGUACAACAGCUGUGCAUGCAUACAAAUAUAUGAAACUUUUAAGUGGUAGAAAAAUAAUAUAUAUUAAGAAAUUGCAGGAAGAAUCCUUUUAUGCAAUCAAUAUUGGAAAACAAAUUCUGGAUCUGCAUAUAAGUCUGUGGGAAAGGGUUAGUGCCUUACUGGUUUUAGUCUUAAGAAGGAACUAUAUGUCCCCUUUUUAUGACACAAAAAAUAGAAUAUGGCAUCUGAGGAUGAAUAAUUCUUACUAUACACUCUGCCUUUUGUGUCAUCUUUUUUCCCCCAAAAGACAAGAAAAGCUGCCUGAGACAAAUUUGUAUGUUGUGCUUUGCACUCACUGCA